GUCUACAGCCAUACCACCCUGAACACUCCCAAUCUCAUUUGAUUGUGGAAGCUAAGCCGGGUCUGUCCUGGUUAGUGCCUGGAUGGAAGAAGAUUGUGUGGUGUGAAGA
rnacentral:rRNA from 1 species